CAAGAUAGCACCACUGCACUCCAGCCUGGGUGACAGAGUGAGACUCUGUCUCAAAAAAAAAAAAAAAAAAAAAAAAGCCAGGUGCAGCGGCUCAGCCUGUAAUUCCAGCACUUUGGAAGGCUGAGGCGGGCAAAUCACUUGAGGUCAGGACUUCGAGACCAGCCUGGCCAACAUAGUGAAACCCCGUCUCUACUAAAAAAAAGCAAAAACAAAACAAAACAAAACAAAAAUUAGCCGGGACUACAGGAACAUGCCUCCAUGCCUGGCUAAUUUUAAUUUUUCUUCUAGAGACAAGGUCUCCCUAUGUUGCCCAGGCUGGUCUCAAACUCCUGGGCCCAAGUGAUCCUCCAGCUUCAGCCUCCCAAAUUGUUGGGAUUACAGGCAUGGGCUCCCGAACCCAGACAGAAUAUUCUCUUAGUGAGGCCCAAAGGCACAAAUUUGUUUACCUCUAGAGCAUAAUUCUGCAAUUCCACCAUUACACUGUGAAAAGAAUGCAGUACAUACGAUACCAAUCAUAGGACAAUUUCAUAAUUUUUAAAAAGUUAAAGGAUAUAGCACUAUGGUAAUAAUUUUUCUUGCAUUCCAUAUCAUUGUGUCUGAAUUACAGUUUCUGUGCUGUUUUCAGUGUCUUGUAUGUUAAUUUUUUUUUUUUUUUUUUUUGAGAGGAAGUCUCACUUGCCCAGGCUGGAGUGCAGUGGCACGAUCUCAGCUCACUGCAAGCUCUGUCUCCUGGGUUCACACCAUUCUCCUGCCUCAGCCUCCCGAGUAGCUGGGACUACAGGCGCCUGCUACCAUACCCGCCUAAUUUUUUUUUGUUUUUUUUUUUUAGUAGAGACAGGGUUUCACCGUGUUAGCCAGGAUGGUCUCGAUCUCCUGACCUGGUGAUCCGCCCGCCUCGGCCUCCCAAAGUGCUGGGAUUACAGGUGUGAGCCACCGCGCCCGGCCGCUUAUGUGUUAAUUUAUAAGUAAUUUUUAUCACUUCUUUCUCUUGUAAUGAUAAGAUGUUCACUGUAGAAAACUAAAAAAAUCAGAAAAGGAUAAAAAAGUAAACUAAAAUUACCAUAAUACUACAACCCAGAAAUAAGCACUGUUUCUUUCUCUUUUUUCCCAUAUAUAUUAUAAUGUAAUACAUUUUAAAAAC
rnacentral:lncRNA from 10 species